rnacentral:ncRNA from 1 species
ACAAAGGCAUUGAAGAGAAAAAGUAAAACAGAUCCGUUUUUCCCAGAGAGCUUCGGCAGGUGAAAAGAAGCAAAAGCGGCUGUUUGAACAAUGGUCUCCGAGCCCCGUACUGAACGCGAUCUUCGCCAGUAGGCUGCGGCAAGUAGUGGUACUUGUUAUCAAACCCACAGUAUAAGGGCAUCUAUAUGCCCCGUACUUGCAGAGGCCGAAAGGCGAAUAAAGGUGGUACCGCGGGCAAGCCCCGUCCUUUUC